rnacentral:rRNA from 1 species
AUGCCACGGCGGCGGCGGUCGGCCCUCCUACACCAACAACAGGGGCCGGCGCAAUGGCAGCUCCUCCAACAGCAGGUCUCGCCCCGACACAAUCAGAUGCCAAAUCUGUGGGAAGCCGGGCACUCUGCCAAGGACUGCUGGUACCGCUUUGAUGAGGACGAUGAUGAUUCUUCUCAAGAUGAAAAAGUGGUCGGAGCUGCUGAUGGCUCCUAUGGUGUCGACACAAAUUGGUACGUUGACAGCGGUGCCACAAACCACAUCACCGGCGAGCUUGACAAGGUGACUAUGCGAGAGAAGUACCGUGGCAAAGAUCACAUCCACACCGCCAGUGGAGAAGGCAACGAAGAAGGUGCUAUAUCGAGGUAG